rnacentral:rRNA from 1 species
GACGAACGCUGGCGGCGUGCUUAACACAUGCAAGUCGAACGGAAAGGCCCUGCUUGCCGGGUACUCGAGUGGCGAACGGGUGAGUAACACGUGGGUGAUCUGCCCUGCACUUCGGGAUAAGCCUGGGAAACUGGGUCUAAUACCGGAUAGGAGCCAUUUUUAGUGUGAUGGUUGGAAAGUUUUUUCGGUGUAGGAUGAGCUCGCGGCCUAUCAGCUUGUUGGUGGGGUAAUGGCCUACCAAGGCGGCGACGGGUAGCCGGCCUGAGAGGGUGGACGGCCACAGUGGGACUGAGAUACGGCCCAGACUCCUACGGGAGGCAGCAGUGGGGAAUAUUGCACAAUGGGCGCAAGCCUGAUGCAGCGACGCCGCGUGGGGGAUGACGGCCUUCGGGUUGUAAACUCCUUUCGCUAGGGACGAAGCUUUUUGUGACGGUACCUAGAGAAGAAGCACCGGCUAACUACGUG